GGCACUCAGGUUAUUUUUACUCUGAAACAAUUUGUGGAGCAUGUUUGUUAGAUUAGGCUCAUGAGGCAAACACCACACAGGCAUUCAAGGUCAGAGCCACUAGCUUGCCACAUGGGUGACCUGCCUUCCCAGGAGGAGAGGGUGAGGCCUGAACCACAUGCUCCUAAGGCAGCCCAGGCUGGGCCUAUAGACUGCAAGCCCUAGAGGCAAUGAGGAAUGGGGAUGGGAAGCAGGUAUGUGAGACAAGAAACUUCUGGAAGAUUUCUUACCUUUUGAGCUUAGUGAGACCUUUGAGAAUGUUCUGAGCUUUCAGCAGCAUUGUGUUGUGUUACUUAGGGCUCUUACACUGUCUCCUUUUAUCCUACAUGCGCCUGUGCCCACCCUGUUAGGAGACAGUUUCCUGAGUCCAGUCAUCUCAGAAACUCCUUGGAAUACCUUGCUGACAGGGUCAAAACUGAGUUUAUGUUCCUAGGCUCCACAACCUAACUCCUUCCUGUUCUGCUCCUUCAAGUGUUCCAGCCUUUGGUUAAUGACUCAACAGGUUGCAACCCAUUCCUCUUACUGGAGGUGUAACUUGGUGGCACAGGAUGUGUAGUUGGAGCCUUGUCUCCUCUGUCAGUUUUUGGCUCCAUAAGGAUCCCUUGCAUAAAUGUAUAGAAGGCUGCUAGAGUAGCCGAUUUCCAUAUAGCUUUUCAAAGGGCCUUUAGUGUUUGUGGUCCCUCCCCUUAUUUCCUACUUUACCUAGGCCUGCAUGCCAGGGCUGUGGGUGCUUACAUAACCGAAGGAAACGGACCCUCUACAUUAUCAGGUAGGAAUCCCUGGGCAGCCAACAUGGGUGAC
rnacentral:lncRNA from 1 species